AAAAAUUUGAAUGGAAAAUUGAGGCCCAAAAGUAGGGCAUGGCCGGCCAUGGGAAGGCCCAAACCCAUGGCCUUAUAACAUUUUUUCCAUGUGGUUAAUUGACUAAUGGACCAUAUUGUAUUAUAUAUGUGAUCUUAUCUAGUAAAUUCUAAAGAUAAGAAGCAAGAAAAUAAGAAAAGCAAGAGCAAGAAGAGAGAAGGGUUCGGGUGACCCUAAGGAAAAUUCACCAUUAAAAAUAUUGCUCCAAAAAUUCUUGUCUUGUUGAAUUUCUACUAAGUUUAUUACCCUUGUUAACUUGGUGUAGUUGGUUUGGAGAAAGGAGACCUUAUUUCAUCAAAGUGAACACAAGUUCAAGUGAAGAAGACUUGAGGAAAAGAUUUUUGACGAAACGGGAAGUGAGUUUGGAAAGGCGUAAAGAGCUUGAAAGGUACUGACGAUAGGUUUGCCGAUCCGUCUGUCUAGGAUAUCUUUUCCGCCAUUUGGAGCGCUCUUUUAUUCAGAGCCAUCUUUUGGUACAGUCUGUCACUUCUAUAUGUGUAUAUUCUCGUUCAUGGGUACGGCGGGGCCCUGUCCCGCCAUAUGAUUCUGUUGGUCCAUUUAGAGGUCUGUAGACAUGUUUGUGGGUUGGGAUCUUUCUGUACAGCUGUGUGUAUAUGUUGUGUUUGGGCGAUCCCAUUCGCCGCGGCGGCCGGUCCGCAUAUAUUUAAAUGUUACU